rnacentral:rRNA from 1 species
AUUGAACGCUGGCGGCAGGCCUAACACAUGCAAGUCGAGCGGAUGAAGGGAGCUUGCUCCUGGAUUCAGCGGCGGACGGGUGGGUAAUGCCUAGGAAUCUGCCUGGUAGUGGGGGAUAACGUCCGGAAACGGGCGCUAAUACCGCAUACGUCCUGAGGGAGAAAGUGGGGGAUCUUCGGACCUCACGCUAUCAGAUGAGCCUAGGUCGGAUUAGCUAGUUGGUGGGGUAAAGGCCUACCAAGGCGACGAUCCGUAACUGGUCUGAGAGGAUGAUCAGUCACACUGGAACUGAGACACGGCCCAGACCCCCCGGGGGGGAGGCAGGGGGGAAUUUUGAAGAUGGGGCGAGGGCCUGAUCCACCCAUGCGGGGGGUGGGAAAAGGGUUUUCGGAUUUAAAACCUUUUUAAGUUGGGAGAAGGGAAAGAAAUUUAAUCCCUUGUUGUUUGGACUUACCAAAAAAAAAAGGCCCCGGCAAACUUCGUC